rnacentral:lncRNA from 1 species
CAAUAUUAGUAGAAAAAUUACUAAUAUUGUAAUGAUCUUUUUCUUUAAAUCAGAAAUGUUGGCUUACCAAGUUUAGUGCAGUAUACUUUCAUAAGUGUAAGAUUUGACCCUGUAAAACCAAAGAUAAUUAAAAAUAAAAUAUUAAAGGACAUUGCUAUUUUUAGAUGUUUGUUUUACAUAUUUAAUUUGAAUUCUUGAUUUGUUUACUUUUUUUUUUCUUUUGGAACAAGCAUUUAUUUAAGGAUAUUUAAGAUACUAUUGAAAAACUGUACAACAGAUGGAGAAACUGAAAGCAAGGUGAAAAUGUUAUAAAGAAAAACAAAAGAAUCUGUUGAGUGUACAUGGAAUCCCAAAGUGAAAAGGAAAAGCUAAUAAUGAAAUUAAGGUAAUUAGUGAAUUUCUAAAAUGUCUGGACUUUUAAAUGAGAAAGCUUAUGCUCUGUCUAGGUGUUUAUCAUAAUAAAUAGUUGAAAAAAUUAGUCUUACGAAAUUAGUCUAUGGAAUAUUCCUUGAUAUAACACUAUCAUGUAUAAUGAUAACAAUACAUUAUUCAGAUAGAUUCAAUAUAUCAUUAGACUUUAUAAUAUUAAAAGUUACUUCCAAUUGAUUAUGCUUCCCUAUCUGUUCCUUUGAAGAAUUAGAAAUGCUGAAUUUCUCACUGGACAGCAUAAGAAGAAUUGCUUUAACAAAUGCAAGUAUUCAUGUAGUCUUUAUUUCUCAGUAUCACCUUCUUAUUUCAUCUCCAGACUAAUAACUUUUGAGAGUUAAGUUCUAAUCAAGUUCCUGUUUAUAUCUUUCAAAGUUCUAAUUCAUUCAUUCAUUCAAUAAAUAAUGUUAGUUUGUCAGGGAUUGUGCAAAGUAAUACUCUGGAUAAAGUAAUGCUGAUUAAUUCACUGCCUCUUAUCUCUAGGAGCUUACUUGCUGAGCAUACAGUAGGUAUUCUACAAAUAGUUACUAAGUGGAUUUAGGUUAUGGAAAAUCCUUAAAUAUUCAAGAAUUAAAUAGCACACUUCAAAAAUGGCCCAAGUUCAAAGAUGAGAUGACAAAGGAUUUCAAACUAGUAAUAAUGAAAAUGUAUAUAUUCAAGUUUGUGGAAUUCAACCAAGGGGAGUACCUGGAGGGAAAAGUAUAGCUUUCCAUGUUCAUAUUAGAAAAUAACAAGAAGCCUACCAUCAAGAUCUCAGUUUCUACUUUUAGAAUCUAGAAAAGGGACAAUUCUAAAGUACUAUGAAGGAAGUAGUAAAAAAAUGGAAAUAAAAAACAUGGCAAGUGUACAAGCAAUAGAGAAACCCCAAAUAACAUAGAAAACAUACAUUAGAGAGAAUCAGUAUAACCUAUGUAAUUCAAGGAGCAGUUGUAGAGGAGGGAGAUAAAUAAAGAUGUUUCUGGAACAACUUGUUAGCACUAUAGAAAAUAAAAACUCCAACCCUUUUCUCAAACAUACACAAAAUAAUUUACUAAAAAUAUAUUGUAGAUCUAAUUGUAAAGAUUAAAACUUUGUGAUCUUAGAGUUGGCAAAGAUUUUCUAGCUAGAACACAGAAAACAUUUAUGAAAAAAUAUUGAAAAAUUGAACUUAAAAAACUUCUGCUCUUCCAAAGACAUGCUAUAAAAUGAAGAGACCACAAAGAAGAAUAAAAUCUUUGCAGUAGUGUAUCUGAUUUUGGUCUUUCUACAGAACAACAAAAAAGUCUUAGAACUUAAUAAAAAGACAAACCAGGUUUAAAAAGUAAGCAAAAGUCUUACAAGACAUUAUACAAAAGAAAAUAUAUGAAUAACCAAUAAGUACUUGAAAAUUAAUGUCAUUAUUUAUCAGGGAAAUAUAGAACCACAAUGAGAUGCCUGCACACAUUUGGUAAAAUGGCUAAAAUUGAAAAGUUUGGCAAUAUCAAGUGUUGACAAGGACAUGGAACAAUUGAGGUUCACAUAUACUGCUAGUGGAAGCAUAAAUUGGUGCAAGCACAUUGGAAAACUGACAGUUUCUUAAGUACACAUUUACUACAUAAUAGAUUCCACUCUUAAGUAUUUGCCUUAAAGGAAUGAAAUCAUGUCCCUGCACAGAUUUAUACCUGAAUGUUGGUAGCAGCGUAAUUCAUAAGAGCCCCAAAUUUGAAAAAACAAAUUCAAAAGUCAAUCUAUGAGUGAAUAGAUAAGUGAUGGUAAAUUUAAACAAUAGAAGAAGGAGGAAAAAGAAUGAACUAUUAUUUGCAGUAAGCUGUGUGAAUCUCAAAACCAUUACAUAUGGUAAGGGUAAGAGGCCAAACAUGAAAGUAUAUACUCUACAUAUAUGUGAAAUUUUAGAACAGGCAAAGUUAAUCUAUAGUGACAGCAAAUCAAUAGCUGCCUGGGGUCAGGUGUUUUUUUUUUGUUUGUUUGUUUUUUUGGUUGAAUAAAGAGGGGCACUUUUUGGGAUAAUGAAAAAAUUCUGUAUUUUGAUUUUGAUGUUGUUUUUUAAAUGUAUACAUUUGUCAAACUCAUCAAACCACACUUUAUUAUGUGUGACUUG